rnacentral:lncRNA from 1 species
GGGACCAACUUAUCCAUCAGAAAGGAUCUAAAAGAGAGAAAACAGACAAAAGCUCUUAUCUCCUUGACUAGGUUUUCUAUGGCUGACAUUUUGUUGUCUCAGCUUAAUUGACUGGAUUGACCCAUAGCUGUGAUGUCACAAGAGAGUAGUGCCCUCCAGAGGCAGAGGCUGAAGAGUAGCUGUUAUAUCAACAGCAAGGGACCAACUUAUCCACCGGAAAGGAUCCAAAAGAAAGAAACAGACACAAGCUCUUAUCUCCCUGACUAGAUUUUGAAAAACUGAAACAUGACUGGAGAUUGAAGUAUCUAUUAUGUAAACAAAACUAAAGUCACAGAACAGACUUCAGUGGACUUUGAGCAGAAGGAAGAUCAAAGGAAAGCACUGAUAAUUUCAAGUCCAGGGCCUGGUUAUGUGUUGACGCCAUUUUCAUUAUCUCACAGCGUGAGACAAAGAGAAGCAUCUAUCUGCAAAAGGAAGAGAUUCUUCUUGGAAUAGUUGCAAAGUUGAUGCUGUCAAUUCCUGAUAGGAUCAGAAAUAGAGAAAAUAUAUUCAAAAGAAAAUCUAUCUGAAGGCUUGUCUUCCUCAGAAUUCAUAUAAAUCCAUUAAGAUGAGGUAACCAUCAAGAUCAAAGUGACAGAAAUGACUCAAAUUCAGAUCUUCUAAUUUUAAAUCCUAUGAUUUUGAAUAAAAAUAUAUUGAACAG